CCCUCCCUCCCCCCCCCCAGCCCCGCGCUCUCUCGCUCUCUCUGUCGCCCCGUCGGGCCCCAUGUCGGUGCGGCCGGCUGGGCGGUGAGGGGCGGCACUGACACACAGCCCCCGGCGCGGAGCGGCUGGUGGUGGGUAGGAAGGGAUGGCCGAGCGCUGCCCUGACUGGAAACCCCGCUGGGGAGGGCCGGGCCGCCCGCCCUGCGGCUCUGCGGCCUGCCCCCCGGCCCGCCGCCGCCGUCGCCUGUGGUGGCAGCCGAGGGAGGGAGGGAGAGGCGGCCCACGGGACGCGUGGCCCUUCGUCCACACGGUCCCGCUUUGGGCUUGGGAGAUUUUGGCUGGGGGAUGGAGCACGGGCAAGAUGUGCUAUUUGAGGGGCUGGGAAAACGUGUGAAAGCCAGAGUGCAGAGCCCAGGGUUGCCUUGCGGUACCAGGCCCGUGAUGUGUAACCCUGUCGCCAGCCCUGUUAGAUGUUCCCAAAGAUGCCUCGUGCUCCACAGCAGCGUGUCCAUCGGGAUAACCGACAUCCCUUUCUCUCCAAGUUCUCGUCGGGGUAACGCGGUCCCUCUCUCCCCAAGUUCUUGCAAGCCCCGAGUAGGAGCCCUGGGUUAGUUAUAGCUCAAAGACAGGUCAAAAGGACAUGACGGUUGGUUUUAAGUUAAUUUAGAACAUCAAGAGCUGGAAACGUAAAUGCCAGGGCAGUCUAAAAGGGGUCAGAGAUCCACUGGUGAAGGGUGUUUUAGAAAUGCAACAUGCUACUCUUUUUACGUGGAUUAUUACGCCUUUGGAUGUGAACAGCCUGUCAUUAGCCCUGCUGUAAAAGCAGGAUGCCCAUUGCCUGCAAAUAAUUAUGGUAUAUCUCAGCCUUUCGCUUAUUUCAGUCCUAAGUAACAUAAGGCGCUUUUUUCCCUAGUGUCACCAAUAUUUUCCAGUUACAAAGGGUUUAACUGAUAAAGGUUAAAAAUAAAUGAGCAUUUACGUUACUAGGAAACACUUAGUAAGCAAAUAGUUAACGUGGUACGUUCAGAUAAAACUUUUGCCCAGAGGAAGUCCACAGCAGAGUGUAAAACUGACAGGAAGUUGCAGUGAGGCUUCUGGCAAGGAGAGUGGGUGUGGAGGAAGCACAGGCUUUCUGUUUGUAGCACAGAGAUAGAAAAGGGAUAAAAAAUAGAGAGAGAUUACAUUUCCCCAAGUUGCAUGAUGGAGAGUUCCUUGCUAUAAAUGUUUGGAGACCGUACAGCUUCAAAUGAAUGUGUGGGAGACGCUAGAGCUCAGAGCAAAUGGAGUCAAAGAGUGACCGGUGAAAUGAACUGCCCUUGGUAAGAGAAGCUUCAUCUAGAUUCAAGGCAUCCAGAAAGUGACGCAUUUAAAAAAUAUUUUUCUUUUAGAGUGUUGCUCCCAAAUCCCAAACGUCAUAAAAUCUCUUCCAAAGUCCAGACAAAUCUCUUGGUGUUUUACAGCUUAAACCCUUGUGCAGUACUUUGAUAAUGAAUCCCUGUAAAUGACGGAUAAUGCAAGAGAGCUCAGGUUGUGAGAAAUCAAGUACAUAGAAACCAGUCCUUUCUCAGUGGGGCUUCCUAUGCGGGGCAAAAAUCAUUAAUGAGAGAUGGCAAAAUAGAUAAAAUACAGCCUCUCAAGUAAAAAUCAUAAGAGCAUCUCAUGCAGUUAUUAGCUGUAUAGCGUGUUUACUCACCAGAUAAAAAAACAUUUCUGUUUCUUUAGUCUUUUCUGUCAGUAGGUAUUAUUAUCAGCACCCAGAAAUAUUCAGAGGCAAGGAACAAAAAGAAAGAUAUAUCCUCUGCCCUCACAACUUUCUUCAGUGAUCUAGCUUAAUCACAAAUAACAAGCAGUGUUCCGGGAACAGAUGUGUGCCAUUACCGUAAUAAUAUUUUACAGUGUGCCUUUAAUUGCCCUGUGUUUUAUAGGCAGUGGGGCAAAUACUGCUCUUUGCUAUACAACAAGAAAACCGAAAGGGGCCUUUGGGAGCCUGAGUGAAUCUCCCGUGAGCAGAUCUUGGUGUUUUGAGUUUCAUACAGGGUAAUCUGAAACUCUUAAGUAUUUUAGAAGAAGUGUAUAUACACGUAUAUACACAUAUGGUUUACUUAAUAUAGACGUGCUUGGAGAUUGAUCACUGUAACUAGAAGAAAUAGGCAAUUAGGAUCCAUUCUGAGCAAGAGACGGAGUGUUCCCUUUUCCCAACUCUCUCAGCCACAUACUUUGAAUGUAAAUCGGGCCCUUAAGUUUGGAUUUUCCUAUGAAUCAUCUAGCUAAUCCUCAGCGCAAUUCGUAAACCAGCUUUACUCAUAUCAGUGUGACUGGUGAAUAGAAAUUGGUGCGCUUGUUAAGCAUACUCACCUGGUACUCCACGGGGCUUGUUCUGCUCAGCUUGCUAAGCUUUUCACAUGUGCCUGAGCUGCUCGCUGAUGGUUACUCAAGCAACUGUGCCAGUGCGGAGGUGCUCCUAUGAUAGAGCAACUCCCCAGAGAACCGGGAAUAUGGAAGAAAUGGGGGAGAUAGGGCCAAAGUGCUGUUGUGUUGAAUAGAAACAACACAGACGUAUCAGCUUUCCUUAGAGGGUCUGCCUGCGCCCAGCAUCAACCUGGAGUUUUUAAAAGAAGGAGGUCAAAUAGCUAGCCGCCUGCUCACCGAACGAAAAAACAGCAGAGACCUGCUUGUGCCCAUAAACCUCACUGACAAAUAGACCUUUCCGAAGCACCGUACCAAUUGUCCUUUGGGCUGUAACUUCUGUCUCCCAAUGUACCAGUUGCCUGCCUGUACUUCAAAACCCUCUUAUUUCAAUGACCAGUGCUUAGCUGGAGCUAAUUCAGCCUGCUCAUCACUGACAGGGUGAGCUGUCUGAUAAUGUCAUGUCUGUUGUGAGGAACAGCUACAAGGGAACGUGGAAGAUCCCCUCUGAUGGAAGAAGAGGAAGAAAACAGUGACACAUCUUGUUAAAAAGCUCUGUGGAAUUAGUGGGGGUAAAGGGGGAGUUGGUAGGUUAUUUGGGGAAAACAAAGGAAUAUUUUUUUAAAUGAUGCUUUCAUAAAAGCUUGACAGGGUGGCCUUUGGUCACCUCCAUAUAAUUUUUCUAACUUUGCCUGCAUUGUUUUCACUGGGGCUGCACGGGUGUUGGAGCGAAGAAUGUGGCUCUAUGUGUAUUGCAGUUUCAUUACUGCUGAAAUACAGCCAUCUCUGGGACAGAAUGCAGAGCUGGCUUGUGCCAGCAAACUCUGAAGUUUAAUGGGCAUGUGGUGCCAGGGAAUGUUGUGCUGGCUGCAUGCCAACUAGCUGUGAACUUUUCUAGAAAUUUGUCCUGAAGGGAAAAGAAAUGUCAUUCGGUUAAUCUAGGAGGUUGCUUUGCUUUCAGAGAGGAAGCAAAGUUCUUGUCUUUUCUGGUGAGUGGACUGAAAGACAUUGAUUCUUAGCUCGGAGACUCGGUUGUUCCAGCAAGAGGGUGUUUACUAGAUCAGAAUGUGCUUUGGAUCAUGAGAGCAAUAAGGAGACAUCAUCUCCAACGCUAAAGAAAAAUGUCUCUUAUUUCUGAGACAUAGAUGUGUGAGGAGAACACUUUUAGCAGCACAUGAUGCACAAAGAAGAUUACUACCUUCUGAAUCACCAGCUCCUGUGAUACCUGGAUAGUUCUUCAAAGUCUUCCAUGAAAGGACUGGGUACAAUGGCAGUUAAGUGAUGAUGAUGACUGAUACAUUCACAGUUUAGAUAACACGGCAGUAUAAAGUUCUAAACUGAUGCUUAGUUUCCCCCAUUUAUAAUUCUGUGCUCUUCCUGAGAAUGUCCUUCUUCACUCUGUUACCAGAUACUUUAGAAUAAUGCGUUGAGCAGAAUAGAAUAGCCAGAGCAAAGAUAGUACUGGGACCUUAGUGGUAGUCCCAGUCAAGUAUAUGGGAAGUGAGUACUUUUGACUCUGCUUUACCAGAACAUGAAAGUACAGAAUUUUGACUUGGGAAAAGAGUGUUUAUAAUUAUAACUGAAUGUCAGUACCAACAUUUUAACUAUUGUACCUUUCUUUUGUUCUUUGGUUUUUGAUUUUGCAUUGUUACUCUUUUUUAGAAUACUCAUUUAUAUCCAGAUUCAGACUCUGCUGGAGACAGAGGAAAAGCUACUGUUGAUUUUAAUAAGCUUUAUAGCAGGACUUAAAUUCAGCCCUUGAGGAAUGUGCAACGUUUAGCAAUACUUGCAUUUAAAAUAUAUAUUCACUUCUGGUUUAUGUCAAUAUUAAGACAGGAGCAAGUAUAUUUAACGAUGACAGGUCUAAAAAUACUCUGUGUUUUUUGUCCUGCUUCCCCCAGCAGCAGAAUUAUAUCCCAAUUAACAUAGCAAUUUACACUGAAAUAUAGCUAUAGAUAUGAUUUUUUUUGCUUCCUUUCGUUUCUGUCCACUUCAGAAUCAAGCCUUAACACAAUGGGCCAAAAGCAUUCACAGGGAAAUCAUUAGUUACAUUAACAGUUCCUUAGUUUUGGUACUCAGUUUGGUUAGAAGAACAAAAUGUACAGCACAGAAAGGAGAAUUUAUUUCCUAAAUUUGUGAGAUCGUUUUCUCCUUAGCUUUCUUUGUAGACACGGCCUUGUUCUGCCAUAUCUUUCCUCUGGCUAUGGAAGCUGUUGCUGAAACUACAAUCAGGAGAGAGGUCUUAAUGAGGAUUGUUAAAGUCUACACCAAGGAAUACACAUGUUCCUUGCCUUUUAAAGCUAGCCAAAAAGCAGGAUUUUUUUUUCUCCUUUUCAUUAAUCUUUUUUGCAAAACAAAUGCAUUGUGGGUUUUUUAGCUGAUAAAAAUUUCUUUGUUUUACUUCUUUCUUAAUGAGUCAGUAAAUGGCAAACCCCUCAAACAACCAUUUCAUUACAGUGUUUAGCACUAAUUCAACUGUAUAUUUUAGUUGGGAGGCGGUAUUUUAGUGAAACAGUAUCCCCCAAAUAACCAAGGUAAAAAGAGGAAAAUGUUGACAAUUAUGCUGAUUUUGGAUGAGUGCAUGUAUUCAAACCAUCUCCAAGUAGGUUGCUACAUCUGCCACAGGCCAUGGCUCACAGUCUGAUCUGGAAAAGUUUUGAUGCUUUUUCAUGUCAGAUGAGUGCUAUGAUCAUCGGUGGCAUCGGAGCUGUGCAGACAUGCUGAUGUCCCGCUCUGCGUCCUCUCGCUCCCUCUCGCCAUACUCUUUGCAGCUUGCUUGGUUCAUUUUAGCCUGUCUUUCGGGGUGGUUUAUCAGCUAGUAGGCCUACAACAUAUUUGCCCCUUUCUGCUGUCACUUUCAGAAGGACUCAGGGGUCAAAUCCCUUCUUGUUCUUUAACUGGCCUGAGGUUCUGAAUAGAUUAUUUGUGUAAUAGAUUUAUUUUAUGAAUCCUUUCAUUUAACUACUAUGCAGUUCUGCUGAACUUCAAAUUGAAGAUUUCAUAAUAUCCUAUUCCCGUGAGAUGUCUGUGUUGUUAUAUUCAAUUUUUAUCAAUAAAAAUACGCAUUUGAAAUGAAAAUGCUGUCCUCUCCAAACCUUUCUUACAAAUUCAGAAUUGCUUCAAGGUCCCAAGCCUUUUAACUACCUCUGCACUACACAGAAUCUUCUAUUACAACCUCGAGCAGCAAAAAAUUUAUUCUAAUUUGAGCUCUAGACAGUAUUGUAACAUUCAGAGGAGGCUGAGUGAAGAGGAUCCCUGUGAAUCACUACCAAAGAUAGGGACGGAAUGGAAGCUGUUGCCCUGGUGUUGCGUUUCCUUGCGUGAAGGUGAUACUCCUGUUGCCCUGGUGCUGUGUUUCACGUGCUAAGUUAUAUCAACAGUCCCUGUAGGCCUUUCAACCCCACAGUCCGCAAGCAGCUCCACCCUGCAGAUGCAGUUUUAAGGAAAGCCACAAUCCUUUUAUAAGCUAGUUAUUAUUGAAAGAAACGAGCUCUUCAGUUUCAAACUCUUUCUUGGCCUCUGCAGAAUGAGAAGGAAGACGUUGUUCCAGGAAGGGACCCACAUGUUGGCGUUCAUGGCCCAAGGUCUGUCUCUCGGAGUCAGCUGGGCCUUCCCUGCGAAGACGUGGAUGGAGAGUAGAAAGGCUUUGUUGUGUUCCACUAGAGAUAUGGGGAGGUUGGGGAGGCAGAUGGUAUCAGCAAGACAAAAAGAAAUGAGGCAAAUUUGCAGAUAAAAAGUCAGUAAACGUGCUAACAGCACUAGGCAGCAAUGCACCAUCUAACAUCCCUCAAAUGGCAAUUCUGCUUGUUGGGAGAUGAAGAAGAAUGGACCGCAGAAAGUGUCUAGACUCACAUGCUCUCCAUGAACAUCUUCCACUGCCCACACUGAAGACAGAGUACUGGAUGAGAUGGAUCGUUAGUUUGACUUACUGGGACAUUUCUCCUGCUCUUAAUUAGGACCUGAUAUUUGAAAUUAUUAUUGUUUUUCAGUGAAAUUUUCAUAGCACUUGGAUUGUAAUAGCGAUCAUGAAUCAAAUUAAAUAAGGAGAAGUCAUGUUUGUCCUACUUUUUAUUGCCAUAGGGUGCAUUUCUAUCUUGUAGGUGUUCUUCCUUACUUGCAGCACAUCAUAUAACUAUUGGUGUCUCAGUCUGUAUUUCUGAGGGGGUGCAUCUAAAAGCCACUGCCUGAAGGGAGAGAGGAAGGGAGACUGAGACAGCUGGAAACAGACAAUGUACCAGAUGUGGGCUCAUUCUUUUAAAAUCCAAAAUUUCUCUUCCAAUUUUUAAAAAAUCUAGGUUUUAUUCCAGGUAGAAGGGUGAUCAAGUCUGACACAGUGAGUUUUUUCAGGCUCAUAUUCUGUUAUCAAUCUGAUUUACCUCACUUAAUCCCUUUGGAAAUUGUAUCUGACCUAAUUUUUUCAGCAGUGACUCUUACGGCAAGAACAAAUAAUAGGGGUGACCCUGUGCAUUCCUGCCAUAUCUCUUUCUCUGUAAUGUAGAUUAUUCUAGUUUCAGUCCACAUUCGUCUGUGAAGAGACAAAGUCAAAGACCAGUUCAAAACAGCCAAUACACUCCUGCAAAUUCACAUUUGGCAGUACCGUAAGUGGGUAAAUAUUGCCAACAUGUAUUGAUUGCUUUUUCUGCUUCAGCCAACAGACCCGAAGUUAACUGCCAAAUAUUAGUUUUUUUGUAAAUGACACCUCACAUUGCCUGUUGUUGCAUGAGCUGUAUCAAUUCACUGCGAACCUCACCUGCUCUGAGGGUGUUACUGGCUCUACAGGGGAUUCUGCUCUUUUCAACAACAGAUUUUGUGAUUCCCCCUUUAAUCCAAAUUUAGAAGAGAAACAGCUUGCUAAUAGUGAGACUUCCAGUUAUGGCCAUUUGCCACCUUUUAGGGAGCUGUCUAUCUGCUCACUUGCUGUGGCUCUGCAAGGUGGAAACCUUAUAAAUUGCUUUUAUCUCUCUUGGGCCGUUAUUAUUUCUCUGUGUGUGCGUGUGUGUACUUGUGUGUGAGUGUUUGUGUAACCUGAUAAGAUGCCUUAUGGUCUACUCUGUUAAUACGCCUUCUGUGUCGCUCCUGCUGCAGCCAGCAGCCGAGCUGCCCUCACCACUUGUGGUGGGUGAUGGAGAAUGCUCAGAAUUCAACAAGUGUCCGCUGGCUCAGCUGAUUUUUUAUCCCCUACAAAGGCAGGCCUGCAGUGCGGAGGAAAGCGCGCUCUGCUCCGAGCAGCAAUAUUCUGGGUUGCUGAUGGUCUUGAGGGAGAUGCUGUUUCGGAUUCAAAAAACAGAUGGAAAAAAAAAAUGUUUCCCCAAAGAAGUUCUUUCCCUUUGCCAGAAAGAGACCUGUUUUAUGAAAGAACUAUGGAGCUGGAUGCUGUUGCGUCAUCUCGAUAUGGAAGCUGAGCAAAGGAAAUAUUUUAUUGAGUUAUAUUGUUCUUACAAGGAUUAUAAAAUAAUUACUCCUUCUACUAUGAUGAGGUCUAAUAGGUCCAAUAUCAAUGUCCUAGGCAUUACAGAAACAUGGCAGAGACAUAUCCUGCUUUAACAAAGAUAUAGGCUAUUUCAAGAAGAUGUGGAAAUCGGUUAUUGCUGCUUUUGACAUGACAUUGGUGGUUAUUGUGAAGACCCGUAUGAAUAAACAAAAUCAAUAAUGCAAGAUGAAUGCCUCCCUUUAACAGCAACUGCUGCAUGAAGUAGUUCGUUUAAGAACCCUUUGCCGCACUGGAAGGUGUACGGUGACUUAUAAAUGCUUUCACUACUGGUUCUUUUUCUGCCAUGGUCAUUAAUCACCUCAAACUUUCAUUCAGCUUACUGUUAUGAAGAAAAUCGUGCUUCUUGUAUUGCGUAGCUACAGUGUGAUGGGGAAACUUCAGACCCUUCCUCCUCUCACCGAGCUCUUCCUCAGUGCAUCUGUGUAGUGGCAGCAAAGGAAAUGAGCUUAAGAGCUCCUGGCCUAGCGAGCAUUACCUCCGUUAGCUGUUGGUACUGAGAACAGCCCAUGUGGGAGAGCAGCUGGAAAAGGCUUGAACACCAUCCCUUCACCUCACCUCACCGGUUUUCCGUUCCCCAUUCCCCAAAAUGGGCUUGAACUAGGAGUGAUUUAAUUCCAUCAUGAGAUUCCUAUUGAUUGGAUCAAUCCCUCAAAUAGAAGAAACAUCAUCCUCAGUUUCAAAGCAUUUGUGGUGCUAAAAGCCUCUAGUUUUUUUAAUCUUUUGUUUUUAAAUGAAGGGAAACUGAGGCAGAAAGGAACAGUAGCACGAGGGACAGAACUUCAAGCAGAGUGGUCUUCCUCCCGUUUUAUGCAGGGCACUGUGGAGGUCCUCAUGUGGGGUCCUUGUGAUAGGAUGGAUGGUGCAAGCUGCUGAUUAACUGUUUUGAACGAGCUUACAGCUUUGCAGUUGGAGGGCUAAUGGGUAAGGAAUUAUUACCUGCUCUUGAAUCUCAGUUAUGCAAUCUUUGUCUCUGGUCUUCUGUGAAGCAAGGAAAUUGAAGCAGAGAUGAAAUUUAUUAGCAGGACAAGCUGCAUUAUGAAUGUGGUAAAUGCUGAUGUCUUAUUGCAAAUGAGGUAUUUGCUAAAUAGAAAUGCUUUUAAAACAGUAUAAUCCUUCACUGUCCCUCCAGGACAAACAACUGGAGAGCAGUGAUUGCAAAAAUCAUUUAGGUCAUGCAAAUCAAGCUCCAGCAGCAGCGUUUCAUGCAGUGAGAAAGGAAGGCUAGACUGUCCUAUUAAGAAGCCUUGUAAUGAUAAAACAUGAUUAAAAUGACUUAGAAGAAAUUACCAAGUGGGGGUCAAGAAGGGCUAAGAAGGGCAAGCUGAUCAUGGAAAUGUGUUUUUAAAUGGACUAAUUCCAAGGGAGUAUGUUUAUCAUAGUCACACAUAAAUGGCUGAACAAUAAUCAUACCAAAAUUAUGUGAAAAUUAUCGCCCUUACAGGGUCUGAGGGUAGUUUCGUAGCUUUUUAUAUACAGAGCUGAUUUACAUCAAGUGACACAGGGGUCUAAAAUUCUCACGUAAUGUUUUCACAAAAGAUGACGAUCAGCUUUCUUCUGGACUUAAAUUUAAAUGUCACUUGGACAAAUAUCAAGUUACCCAAUAUUGUACAGUGUAAGCAGAAUGUAACAAAAGGUGCUGCAGCUAAUGCUGCUGCAGUAAGCUUUAUUGUACAGGGGAGCCAGCUCUGUCAUUUGCGGAUCCUGGAGAUGAAUUUCCUUUACAGUGGUGCUGGCCUGCCAGUCCGGCUGAAUGAAGACAGUGUAAUUGCUUUCUUUAAUGGAGCUAAACAAUCUGGGAUAUUUUUUAUGGCUGGCAAUACCUGCAGGAAACGUAUCGAAUGCACUGUUUGGUUACAACAGGCUGUGCAGAGGCCCUUCACAACUUGGAGAGCAUUGACUCUCCGGUGUUACUGCACAGCAGAGCUGAGAAGUACCUCUUUAUAAGCUAAUGGUUAUAAACCAGAUUGAACAGCAAGCUGUCUCUUGGCAAACACCGAGGAGCAUGUCUGUUCCUCCUCCCCCCUCCUUCCCGGCCACCCCUUGCUUCAAUUCUCAGAAUUAUUUCUGUUUCCAUCUUUCGGAGGUUUUGGUGCCAGGGGCCCAAGGGCGGUUCUGGUGCAUGCAACCCCCCAAAGUCAGUGACGCCAGCCCGAAACCACAUGCUCACACGACCGCUGAAGCUCGGCUUCGGACUUGCUGGCUCCAAAUUUGAGGAAUGCAGAUUUUUGAUUAGCUACCAAAGCAGGAAGCCAGCUGGUUCUGGGGCUACAUCAGCUGCUUCCCAGCCUUCCUCACCAACCGCACGUGGAUGGUGAGGGUGAAGAAAGGUUCAGGAGGACAAUGGCGAGCACGAAGAGGAAGGGACGACCAAGGCUGUCUUUGGCCUGGCCACGGAGUCGUAGCAGGGAAACUGAGAGGCCAAUUAGAUCUCUACCCAACAGUACGACGAAGAGCACAGGAGCUAAUUACGUACGAGGUGUUACUGUGACAACCCACGAGGCAGCGGCUCACUGAAAACAAAGUACGGAAACGUAAAGCUGAAACCAGAGGAGAAAAAAAAAAGAGAAGAUAAAAAACAUGAAAGAAAGGGGAAAAGAGGUAGAAGAGAAGCAAGAGCAAACGAAAAGGUCGAGAUACAAUUUGAAAGGAUGGGGAGAAAAAAAGAGUUGGUAGUGAGGGGCCAACAGGAGAGAUGCAUGAUCAGAAAUGAAGCGUUUGAUAGCCUGGUUAGCAAACAAGCUACCAGGAUGUGGUGCUUUCAUACCGAAGAGCCAGAGAUGUUUUGGGUGGGGUUUUUUAAUUUGACUUUAACCAUCUCAAAGUUAGGUGUUCAGCCUGAGGAGGUCUCCUAGGCUCUGUCAGGAGUCAGCAGAGAGAGACAAGUACGAGGGGAGGCUCAGUCGUUCUGCAGUCGGUGUGGACGCGGUGGGUCCGCAGAUGUUUCCUUUGCUGUCA